rnacentral:rRNA from 1 species
UACGUAGGUGGCAAGCGUUGUCCGGAAUUACUGGGUGUAAAGCGCGUGUAGGCGGCAGACCAAGUCGGCGGUGAAAGCGCCCGGCUCAACUGGGCGAGGUCCGUGGAAACUGGUCAGCUGGAGGACGGUAGAGGCGAGUGGAAUUCCCGGUGUAGCGGUGAAAUGCGCAGAUAUCAGGAAGAACACCUAUGGCGAAGGCAGCUCUCUGGGACGGUACUGACGCUGAGACGCGAAAGCGUGGGGAGCGAACAGG